rnacentral:piRNA from 1 species
UAUUGACUGGAACAAUAGAUGGAAAA